ACUAUACACAGCAGGUAAGGGCCAAAAAAGGGUACCUUAAUUUUACGUAACAGGAACUCUUCAAAGAGAAUUCAUUUUCCCGAGGCCCGUAGUUCGUGAAACGUAAGAAGUGCCUCACGUCAUGCAGUGAUCCGUGCUGGACAAGACGCAUUUGUUCGAUGAUAAAUGCAUAGAAAAUAAUAAAAAUAAUUGAUACAUAUAAGGACUAAUCUAUAAAUUUGCGACAAAAAAUGAUUUUGCCAAAUGUUUUUUUUUUUAAUAAUUAGUGCAUAUUUAUAUAUUAUAUUAUUAGAAAUUAAAACAUGAGUUCACUUUCACACUA